rnacentral:rRNA from 1 species
CUACGGGGUGCAGCAGUGAGGAAUAUUGCACAAUGGGGGGAACCCUGAUGCAGCAACGCCGCGUGGAGGAUGACGCAUUUCGGUGUGUAAACUCCUUUUAUAUGUCAAGAAAAUGACGGUAGCAUAUGAAUAAGCACCGGCUAACUCCGUGCCAGCAGCCGCGGUAAUACGGAGGGUGGCAAGCGUUACUCGGAAUCACUGGGCGUAAAGGACGCGUAGGCGGGUUGGAAAGUCAGGUGUGAAAUACUACAGCUUAACUGUAGAACUGCACUUGAAACUUCUAAUCUAGAGUAUGGGAGGGGCGAUGUAAUUAGUGGUGUAGGGGUAAAAUCCGUAGAUAUCACUAGGAAUACCUAAAGCGAAGGCGAUCUCCUGGAACAUUACUGACGCUAAGGCGUGAAAGCGUGGGGAGCAAACAGGAUUAGAUACCCCCGUAGUC